rnacentral:rRNA from 1 species
GAUCCUGGCUCAGGAUGAACGCUAGCUACAGGCUUAACACAUGCAAGUCGAGGGGCAGCAUGAACUUAGCUUGCUAAGUUUGAUGGCGACCGGAGCACGGGUGAGUAACACGUAUCCAACCUGCCGAUGACUCGGGGAUAGCCUUUCGAAAGAAAGAUUAAUACCGGAUGGCAUAGUUCUUCCGCAUGGUAGAACUAUUAAAGAAUUUCGGUCAUCGAUGGGGAUGCGUUCCAUUAGGUUGUUGGG